UGAAAGCUGGGUCAAAAAAAAGUUUGAGUGCUCAGAUGUGCAUCAUUGAAAGGAAUGUGAACAUUUGAUUCUGCUACAGGAUCCCAUUAGGAUACUUAAAGUUAUUCUUUAGGCAGAAAAGACUUCCUAAUGAGGAAAAUCCUGUCACACAUAUGACUUUCAUUGGCUGUGGUGGGAGCUGGUUGUGUUCAAUGAGAGGGAUUCAAUCACUUCAAUCCAGGUGUGUGUUAUCAUUUCAGAUGCCU